rnacentral:rRNA from 1 species
CCUACGGGAGGCAGCAGUAGGGAAUUUUCGUCAAUGGGCGCAAGCCUGAACGAGCAAUGCCGCGUGAACGAGGAAGGUCUUCGGAUCGUAAAGUUCUGUUGUAGGGGAAAAAGAGCGGAGAGAGGAAAUGCUUUCUGAUUGCUAUUACCCUUCGAGGAAGUCACGGCUAACUACGUGCCAGCAGCCGCGGUAAUACGUAGGUGGCGAGCUUUAUCUGGAAUGAUUGGGCGUAAAGGGUGCGUAGGCGGCCUGCUAAGUCUGGAGGGAAAGGUACCGGCUCAAGCGGUACCGGCUCUGGAAACUGGCGGGCUAGAGAGCAGGAGAGGGCGGUGGAACGCCAUGUGUAGCGGUAAAAUGCGUAGAUAUAAGGAAGAACACCAGUGGCGAAGGCGGCCGCCUGGCCUGUUACUGACGCUGAGGCACGAAAGCGUGGGGAGCAAACAGGAUUAGAUACCCCUGUAGUC